rnacentral:rRNA from 1 species
AGUGAACGCUGGCGGCGUGCCUAAUACAUGCAAGUCGAACGGAGAUUAAGUAGCUUGCUAUUUAAUCUUAGUGGCGCGCGGGUGAGUAAUAUAUAGCUAACUUGCCCAUUACUAAGGGACAACAGUUGGAAACGACUGCUAAUACCUUAUACUCCGUAUCUAUAUAAGUAGAUACGGGAAAGUUUUUCGGUAAUGGAUAGGGCUAUAUCGUAUCAGCUAGUUGGUAAGGUAAUGGCUUACCAAGGCUAUGACGCGUAACUGGUCUGAGAGGAUGAUCAGUCACACUGGAACUGAGACACGGUCCAGACUCCUACGGGAGGCAGCAGUAGGGAAUAUUGCUCAAUGGGGGAAACCCUGAAGCAGCAACGCCGCGUGGAGGAUGACACUUUUCGGAGCGUAAACUCCUUUUCUUGGGAAAGAAUUAUGACGGUACCCAAGGAAUAAGCACCGGCUAACUCCGUG